GGAUGCAAAAGUCGUAACACGGUUUCCGUAGGUGAACCUGCGGAAGGAUCAUUCACACAUUGCGUCUCAAAGCUGUUCUUUCCUACGUAUCACAAGUGAUUGUGAUGUUAGGGGAGUUCGCUGCGAGGAAACGCUUGAUAUAACCAUAAAUAUUCCAAAUCUUUGAUUCUUAAUUUCCCCACAACGUAUUUCGGAGUAAAUUGAGAAAUAAUAUAUGAGACAGCAGCGGGUUUGCUUCUCUAUGCGUAUCAUUAUUGAUAUGGACAAUGAGGGCGUCUCGCGUCUCUAUUGAAAUUUUGUUGAAUUAAAUAAAACUUUCAGCAAUGGAUGUCUUGGCUCACGCAUCGAUGAAGGACGCAGCAAAAUGCGAUACGCAUUGUGAAUUGCAGAUUUUAGUGAACCAUCAGAUUUCUGAACGCAUAUGGCGCUGUUGGGAUUACCCGACAGCACGUCUGUUUCAGUGUCUUUUGACUCCUUCAAACAUUAUACUGCCAUAAGGUUGAGGAUUUAACUUCAGUAAUUGGGGUUAGUUCUUGAUUUUGUGUGGUGGUGUCGUCUGCGCGUCGCUGUAUGGAUUAUAUAUCGGCGUCGCGUUAAAAUAAUAGUAUUUCAACAUAUAUUGUUGGUUAUAAGCAGUCGUUGUGCGUUAUCCUUUCGUUCACGAAGGAGAUACGGUGGUUUAUUAACUGCUGGAUAAUAUCUCAAGAAAGUGGAUGAAGUAUUAUGGAUUACGUUGUGGCGAUUGCUGCUGGCAAUAUAGAUAUCUUUAUAUAGACCUGAAAUCAGUCGAGGUUACCCGCUGAAUUUAAGCAUAUUAUUAAGCGGAGGA
rnacentral:sRNA from 1 species